UCUACCACAAACUAUAAGUAUUGUCGUUAUAAUUAUAAUUUUUCAUUUUUUUAAUCAACCAGUAUAAGAAUAAACACUCAAAUUUCAGAUCUCAAUGAAACCUAUUUACCGUUUUCAUAUCAGACACCGCCAACCACUAGGUCUCACCCCCUAUUCUUAUGUCGACAAUUACUCCGACCCCAAACUACUCAUUUCUUUGCCUUGUUCGUAUACACUAUUCGAACCCUAAUUUUUUUUUUCUAUUUCUUUGGGCAUGUCAGGUAUUCCCAAUCUAUAGGAUCUUCGUCUUCGUCUCCAACUAGAGAGCACGAGAUCUCGCUGGUGUAUAUCUCGGUGGAUUUCAGAGGCGGUGGCGGAAUAGGAAUGGAUCUCUAAGAUCGAUUAAAUUUUAGGCGGCAAAUCUCCACCAUUGAUGAAAUUGUGAUUCUUUCUUUCUAUGUUAUAACUUCUUCAGUUUCCAGUUUCUAUUUGCACAAAGAACUUGCAAACAAGAUAGAGAGAGGCAACAAUUGUUAAGGGUCAAGCUUUAGGGGCAGUAUUUCACUCUCAAGGUUCUUUCGUUUGGAGGUAUUCAAAGAAAUCUGAAGUGUUCAAGCGACAAUGUCCUUGUUAUGGCCUAUUUGAUACUUCUUGGAUGGUUUGGUAUUUCUUAGUAUAACUCAUUGGUUUGUUAUUAGUUUUAGUGUACAUCUUGUAAUAU